AUGUUGUCCUUGCUGCCGCGUGCCAUGGCGAGCUCCACCAGCAGCGCCGCGGCGUCGGCCGCCGUGCUCCCGGAGACGGACUCGGGGUACUUGGAGGCCGCACGCCCACUUAGGCAAUUUCUCGCGAUCUUGCAGGCGAUAUCAUUGGACACCACAUCCCACAGGCCGUCGCUUGCCAGUAUGAGGAACUCGUCUUUGUCCGUCCGGUCCAUGACGGUGACUUCUGGUUCCGCUAUCACAUAUGGCUUCAGGUAA
rnacentral:rRNA from 1 species